GGUCACAAUAGCAAUGCUUGAAAAGCAUGCUUGCUUGCAUACUGCAAAAUGUAACCGGAUGCAGCAGCACGUCCAGGUAUUUAGGCAUGCUUAAUUUGACAUACGGUGUACUGGAACAUGUUAUUGUUGUAAACGUAACAUUUGCUAAUUAGCACUUAACAGAGUAGAGCUUAGGCUAAUGGGAAUAUUGUUAGUUUUGCAGGUAUUUGUUCAUAAACCAAAGUAUCGGACAAACUCAAAUGUUGACCUGAAGAUGACGCUAGAUGACUGAGUUGCAUUGCGUCCCUAGAGCCACGCCAGUAGCAUCAGCGAAUCUAAAUACAGGGCUUCAAGCCAAAACAAAUCAAAUAUUAUACCAAAAAAAAGUAGAUACAUGUGUACUCCAUGUUGCACAAGUAGGAGAUUUACAGCAAAUAACAUAGUUGUUGUCUUUAGGAUAAGCUAUUGAAAACUGUUACUUGAAUCAAUUUUUGAGAAUAAAUUUAAAUAUGGAGAACAAUGGUGGAGCAAAUGAAAUUCACAGUAAUACAGCGUAAUAACAAAAGUGAAAACGUUAACAUUACUGUAAAAUCUUGAUAAUUUUAAUUUUGCAUACAGGCAACGUUCUCACUGGAAAAUGUAAGUUGAUAGUUAGAAACUUAAGUUAUUUAUGUGAAGGGAAACUGCAGUAGCACCAUAGUUUUUGGGACUAUUUUGUGAACAUCCGUUUCAGUAGAAAAAAAGACAAAAGUCUCACUUCUCAGCUUUGUAGAGCAGCGUAAAUAUAGAACUAAUUGAGUUUCUAUAAAAGGGCCACUGGAAGUCCCUAGAUAGUGCAGGUUCUGUGUAGAAAGAAGGAUCUGAACGUACACUGUGUAUUCCUAUGGUUAGUCAGCACUGGCAGGUCAUGUUAACAUGCAACGAUGCUUAAGUCACUAUUCUGAACUGUUAUGUGCAUUGUAAACCCCAUCCUUUUUUAAAUGUAACAAUAUUCAGGGUUUUCUUGUGGGAUAAAUGGCUACAAAACGUAAACUGGACCCACAAUGUUCUGUACACAGAAAAGCAAGUGAGGUUGCUGCACACUAAUUACAAUACGUAGUGCUAGUACCUUCAUUUAAAAAAAAAAAAAAA